rnacentral:rRNA from 1 species
GCGCAGCAGUCGCGAAAACUUCACAAUGUGGGAAACCACGAUGAGGGAACUCCAAGUGCUUGCGCUUUGCGUAAGCUGUUCUUUUGUCUAAAAAACAAAAGAAGUAAGGGCCGGGUAAGACGGGUGCCAGCCGCCGCGGUAAUACCCGCGGCCCGAGUGGUGGUCAUUAUUAUUGGGCCUAAAGCGUCCGUAGCCGGUUUUGUAAGUUUCUGGGUAAAUCCCACAGCUUAACUGCGGGAAUUCCAGAAAUACUGCAGAGCUAGGGGCCGGGAGACGCAGAAGGUACUCCUGGGGUAGGGGUGAAAUCCUAUAAUCCUAGGGGGACCACCAGUGGCGAAGGCGUUCUGCGAGAACGGGCUCGACGGUGAGGGACGAAAGCUGGGGGAGCGAACCGGAUUAGAUACCCGGGUAGUCC